AAGGGAGAGGACUACGUGGGAAUCUACCCUCAGAACAGGGAUAGCGGCGGGAAACUGCCGGUAAUACCUGAUAACGUCUGAGGACCAAAGGUGCGAAUCCGUCUGAGGAUGAGCCCACGUCCUAUUAGCUUGUUGGUGGGGUAAUGGCCUACCAAGGCAAUGAUGGGUAGCGGGUGUGAGAGCACGACCCGCCUCACUGGGACUGAGAACUGCCCAGACACCUACGGGUGGCUGCAGUCGAGAAUCUUCGGCAAUGAGCGCAAGCUUGACCGAGCGACGCCGCGUGCGGGAUGAAGGCCUUUGGGUUGUAAACCGCUGUCGUAGGGGAGCAAGAGAUGAGGGUACUCCCUCAAAUUUGAGCGAUCCUAGGAGGAAGGAGAGGCUAAGCUCGUGCCAGCAGCCGCGGUAAGACGAGCUCUCCAAACGUUAUUCGGUAUCACUGGGCUUAAAGAGUUCGUAGGCGGCUCCGUAGGUGAGGUGUGAAAUCCCUCGGCUCAACCGAGGAAUUGCGCUUCAAACCGUGGAGCUAGAGGUAGACAGGGGUAAGCGGAACAGAUGGU
rnacentral:rRNA from 1 species